ACCCUCCGGUUCCCUUUCCCAUCAGAUCUGAACACUGGUCUUGGUGGUCGUAAGAGGAGGAAUAAUAAUACUGAAAGCUGUCCUUACAGUGCCUGUAGUCUUCUACCGAGCAUGUGGGCAAUUUCAAACAAGC
rnacentral:snoRNA from 1 species